GGUCCCGUAGUGGAGCGGUUUAACACGCCUGCCUGUCACGCGGAGAUCGCGGGUUCGAUUCCCGUCGGGACCGCCA
rnacentral:tRNA from 1 species